AUACUUACCUGGCAGGGGAGAUACCAUGAUCAACUAGGUGGUUCACCCAUGGCGAGGCUCAGCCACUGCACUCUAGGCUGUACUGACCCAUGCGAAUUCCCCAAAUGUGGGAAUCUCGACUGCAUAAUUUCUGGUAGUGGGGGACUGCGUUCGCGCUCUCCCCUG
ensembl:snRNA U1 U1 spliceosomal RNA